AAUCUUUUUACAGCCUAUUCUCAAAGGUCUCCAAAUGCUUGUACUGGGAAAAUUUGGAUUUAGGUUUAAAUUGUUCUUUAGAUUGUUUUUUCAGUAUUUGCAGAUGACACAGAACUCUCUAAAUUAAUACAAUGUGGGCAGGAUAUUGCUUUGCUGCAGAGGGAUUUAGACAUAUUGGGGGACUGAGCACUCAAAUGGCAGAUGAAAUUUAAUGUAGAAAAAACAAUGCACAAGAAAUUUACACCCUAAAUGGUAUUGAAUUAGGAAUAACCUAACAUAGAUUAGAUGAAUUUCACUGCUCUGGUGCGCUUGUCUAUGUUCGGUGACAUUUCCCCAAACGUAGAUAUACGCACUAGAGCAGGGAAUCCCUCUAAUCUAUGUUCGGGGAAAAUUCCCUGAACAUAGACCAGCUCUCUAGCGUGGGGAAUCCCUUGAAUCCCCACACUAGAGAGCUGGUUGUAAGUGUGUCCAUCGCAAGACAGGUAGGUCGCAAAGUGAGGGCCACCUGUACAAAUAUAUUCAGGGCCAAUACAAACUCCCUGUUACUAUCCUCCUACUCACGGUCACUGCCUCUCCACCCCCCUUCCCCCUGUCACUGCCCCUCCAUCCCCCUUCCCCCUGUUACUUCCCCUCCACCCCACCUACCUCGCUACUGCCCCUCCAUCCCCUACCCCCUGUCACUGCCCCUCCA